rnacentral:rRNA from 1 species
AGCAUAUCAAUAAGCGGAGGAUAAGAAACCAACAGGGAUUGUCUUAGUAACGGCGAGUGAAGCGACAAAAGCUCAAAUUUGAAAUCUGGCACCUUCGGUGUCCGAGUUGUAAUUUGAAGAAGGUAACUUUGGAGUUGGCUCUUGUCUAUGUUCCUUGGAACAGGACGUCACAGAGGGUGAGAAUCCCGUGCGAUGAGAUGUCCAACUCUAUGUAAAGUGCUUUCGAAGAGUCGAGUUGUUUGGGAAUGCAGCUCUAAGUGGGUGGUAAAUUCCAUCUAAAGCUAAAUAUUGGCGAGAGACCGAUAGCGAACAAGUACAGUGAUGGAAAGAUGAAAAGAACUUUGAAAAGAGAGUGAAAAAGUACGUGAAAUUGUUGAAAGGGAAGGGUUUGAGAUCAGACUUGGUAUUUUGUAUGUCUUGCUUUCGGGUGGGGCCUCUGCAGUUUACUGGGCCAGCAUCGGUUUGGACGGUAGGAUAAUGACAUUGGAAUGUGGCAC